rnacentral:rRNA from 1 species
AGAAGUAAAAGUCGUAACAAGGUUUCCGUAGGUGAACCUGCGGAAGGAUCAUUAACGAGUUGAACGGGGUUGUAGCUGGCCUUCACAGGCAUGUGCACACCUCACUCAUCCACUCUACACCUGUGCACUUACUGUGGGUUUCGAGAGGCCGCGCUUGCGUGGUUGAUCGGGCUCACGUCUAUUACAAACUCUUCAGUAUCAGAAUGUGUAUCGCGAUGUAACGCAUCUAUAUACAACUUUCAGCAACGGAUCUCUUGGCUCUCGCAUCGAUGAAGAACGCAGCGAAAUGCGAUAAGUAAUGUGAAUUGCAGAAUUCAGUGAAUCAUCGAAUCUUUGAACGCACCUUGCGCUCCUUGGUAUUCCGAGGAGCAUGCCUGUUUGAGUGUCGUGUAAUUCUCAACCUAUAAAUCCUUGUGGUUUUUAGGCUUGGACUUGGAGGCUUUUGCUGGCUUUACCGUCGGCUCCUCUUAAACGCAUUAGCUUGAUUCCUUGCGGAUCGGCUCUCAGUGUGAUAAUUAUCUGCGCUGUGACCGUGAAGCGUUUGGCGAGCUUCUAACCGUCUCUUUGAGACAAACACUUUGACAUCUGACCUCAAAUCAGGUAGG